rnacentral:rRNA from 1 species
GUCUUAUUGAUAAUAAUUUUAAGUCAAUCUGCCCAAUGAAUAUUUAAAUGGCUGCAGUAUAUCUGACUGUACAACGGUAGCAUAAUCAAUUGGUUUUUAAAUGAAAUCUAGAAUGAAAGGAUUAAUGAAAUAUAUACUGUCUCAUAUUUAUUUAAUGAAUUUAAAAUUUUAAUAAAAAUGUUAAAAUUUUUUUAUGGGACGAUAAGACCCUAUAGAAUUUUAUAUUAAUUUAAUUUUAUAUAAUAAUUAUAAAAUUUAAAUUAAUAUUUAGUUGGGAGAACUAUUAAAUUUAAUAAAUUUUAAUUAAUAUAAACUUAGAUUAAAGAAAAUUUUUUGAUUUUUAAUUUAAAAUUAUUAGAUUAAAUUACCUUAGGGAUAACAGCGUAAUAUUUUUUUAUAGAUCUUAUAGAAAAAAAUGAUUGCGACCUCGAUGUUGAAUUAAGAUAAAUUUUAAACGCAGAAGUUUAAUAAUUAAGUCUGUUCGACUUUUAAAAUCUUACAUGAUUUGAGUUCAAAUCGACGUAAGU